ACAGGAAGUGCUGAGGAAAACUGGGCUGACUUGCGGUAAAGUAGAUGUGUAUUAUUACAGCCCCAAUGGCAAGAAGUUCCGAAGCAAGCCCCAGUUGACCCGCUACCUCGGUGACACUGUUGACCUUUCCUCCUUCGAUUUUCGGACUGGGAAGGUCAACCCAAUGCUGGCGAGGAAGAACAAGAAGCCCCGUGGUACCCUCUUUGAUUACAGGUGAUUACAGGAUUACACUGCAUAAGCAUAUGUACAACGAAAGACAAGGCAACACACACACACACACACACACACUCACACUGCAUAAGCAUAUGUACAACGAAAGACAAGGCAACACACACACACACACACACACACUGCAUAAGCAUCUGUACAACGAAAGACGAGGCAAGACACACACACACACACACACACACACACACACACACACACACACACACACACACACACACACACACACACACACUGCAUAAGCAUCUGUACAACGAAAGACAAGGCAACACACACACACACACACACACACACACACACACUGCAUAAGCAUCUGUACAACGAAAGACAAGGCAACACACACACACACACACACACACACACACACACACACACACACACACACACACACACACACACUGCAUAAGCAUAUGUACAACGAAAGACAAGGCAACACACAGACACACACACACACACACUGCAUAAGCAUAUGUACAACGAAAGACAAGGCAACACACACACACACACACACACACACACACACACACACACACACACACACACACACACUGCAUAAGCAUAUGUACAACGAAAGACAAGGCAACACACACACACACACACACACACACACACACACACACACACACACACACACACACUGCAUAAGCAUAUGUACAACGAAAGACAAGGCAACACACACACACACACACACACACACACACACACACACACACACACACACACACA